rnacentral:rRNA from 1 species
AUGGCCGCCUCGGCAAUCAGAAACCCUAGCCCAGCCGCCGCCGUCGCCGCGCCCCUGCCCUCCCGCGCGGUGCUGCGGAUGGUGACGCCGUCGGCCCGGAGAGGCGCGUCCGUCGUGGCGUCCGCGUCAAUGCGGCCGGCCAAGGCGGUCGCGGCGGAGGCGCCCUCCCCCGUUGCCGAGAGAGUGAACGGGGCCGAGGUGGCGGGGGCGGGCAUCGCGAGGCCCGACGCGCUCGGUAGGUUCGGCAAGUUCGGGGGCAAGUACGUGCCGGAGACCCUCAUGCACGCCCUCACCGAGCUCGAGGCCGCCUUCCACGCGCUCGCCGACGACGAGGACUUCCAGAAAGAACUUGACGGCAUCCUCAAGGAUUACGUGGGCCGCGAGAGCCCGCUAUACUUUGCGGAGCGCUUGACGGAGCACUACAAGCGUGCUGAUGGCACUGGCCCACUGAUUUACCUCAAGAGGGAGGAUCUGAACCACACCGGUGCUCACAAGAUCAACAAUGCUGUGGCACAAGCUCUGCUUGCCAAGAAGCUUGGGAAGCAGCGUAUUAUUGCUGAGACUGGGGCUGGCCAGCAUGGGGUUGCCACUGCAACAGUGUGUGCUCGGUUUGGUCUGCAGUGCAUCAUCUACAUGGGUGCACAAGAUAUGGAGAGGCAGGCGCUUAACGUUUUCAGGAUGAAGCUUCUUGGGGCAGAGGUAAGGCCAGUACAUUCUGGGACUGCAACGCUGAAGGAUGCUACCUCAGAGGCCAUCCGUGACUGGGUCACCAACGUAGAGACCACACACUACAUUUUGGGCUCAGUUGCGGGUCCACACCCAUACCCGAUGAUGGUGAGGGAGUUCCAUAAGGUGAUCGGCAAGGAGACCCGUAGACAGGCGAUGGACAAGUGGGGUGGCAAGCCUGACGUGCUGGUUGCUUGUGUUGGUGGUGGAUCAAAUGCCAUGGGUCUCUUCCAUGAGUUUGUUGAUGAUCAGGAUGUAAGACUGAUUGGAGUGGAGGCUGCUGGUCAUGGUGUAGACACUGACAAGCACGCUGCAACAUUAACGAAGGGGGAAGUCGGAGUUCUCCAUGGAUCUCUGAGUUAUGUAUUGCAGGAUGCUGAUGGACAAGUGAUUGAGCCCCACUCCAUCAGUGCUGGGUUGGAUUACCCAGGUGUUGGACCUGAGCAUAGUUUCUUGAGGGAUAUUGGACGUGCUGAAUAUGAUAGUGUGACAGAUCAGGAGGCAUUGGACGCUUUCAAGCGCACCUCUCGGCUGGAGGGCAUCAUCCCUGCCCUGGAGACAUCCCACGCGCUGGCUUACCUGGAGAAGCUCUGCCCAACACUACCGGAUGGUGUGAGGGUGGUUCUCAACUGCAGUGGAAGAGGAGACAAGGAUGUCCACACAGCCAGCAAGUACCUUGAAGUCUAG